CACUUUCCCCGGGCUCUAGUUUAUCACUCGUAUGCUGGACUUGCAGUCUUGCUUGGAGACGUGCUUUGGCUGCUUCGAGUUCGUCCUGAGUGUCCACGCCGUUAGAUGACGAGAUAAUGUCUCCGUUUGCUUCCUCAUGUCCUAAUAUCCCAUCUGCACUGGCAGCAUCAUUCGUAAUAUCCAGUUCAUCCACUUGGCCAUCAUCCCCAUUCCCAUUCCUGUUAAUAUUCUCCCCAGUACCAACUCCUUGCUCCUCUUGCUCCUCUUGGUUUUCUUCGACCUCUCCUUCUCCUCCCUCCCCACCCUCCAUAUCAAAUUCGCC
rnacentral:sRNA from 2 species